UACGUAGGGUGCGAGCGUUAAUCGGAAUUACUGGGUGUAAAGGGUUCGUAGGCGGUGUGGCAAGUCGGGAGUGAAAUCUCUGGGCUCAACUCAGAGACUGCUUCCGAAACUGCUGUGCUGGAGUGUGGGAGAGGCGCGUGGAAUUGCAGGUGUAGCGGUGAAAUGCGUAGAUAUCUGCAGGAACACCCGUGGCGAAAGCGGCGCGCUGGACCACUACUGACGCUGAGGAACGAAAGCUAGGGGAGCAAACAGG
rnacentral:rRNA from 1 species